UUAUGCGACAGUACGUAUGAA
ensembl:piRNA 21ur-3434 ncRNA